rnacentral:rRNA from 1 species
AAGGACGAACGCUGGCGGGCGUGCCUAACACAUGCAAGCUUGGGAGAAAGAGGUAAGCAAUAUCUUGAGUAAACCGGCGCAAGGGUGAGUAACACGUAGGUAAUCUGCCUUGAGGACGGGAAUAACUUCGAGAAAUCGAGGCUAAUGCCCGAUGAAAUUCCGAUACAGCAUUGUAUUGGGAUCAAAAGCCGUAAGGCGCCUUUAGAUGAACCUGCGUCCCAUUAGGCAGUUGGUGAGGUAACGGCCCACCAAGCCGACGAUGGGUAGCUGGUCUGAGAGGACGAUCAGCCACACUGGAACUGAGACACGGUCCAGACUCCUACGGGAGGCAGCAGUGAGGAAUAUUGCGCAAUGCCCGAAAGGGUGACGCAGCGACGCCGCGUGGAGGAUGAAGGCCCUACGGGUCGUAAACUCCUUUUGUGAGGGAAUAAUUUCCUGCUAUAGGCGGGAUUGAAUGUACCUCAGGAAAAAGCAUCGGCUAACUACGUGCCAGCCGCCGC